rnacentral:rRNA from 1 species
CAGGCCUAACACAUGCAAGUCGAGCGCUUGGGGUGUUCCCUUACGGGAAACCCCCUGGAGCGGCGGACGGGUGAGUAACGCGUAGGCAACCUGCCUGUAAGAUCGGGAUAACUACCGGAAACGGUAGCUAAGACCGGAUAGCUGGUUUCUCCGCAUGGGGGAAUCAUGAAACACGGGGCAACCUGUGGCUUACGGAUGGGCCUGCGGCGCAUUAGCUAGUUGGUGGGGUAAUGGCCCACCAAGGCGACGAUGCGUAGCCGACCUGAGAGGGUGAUCGGCCACACUGGGACUGAGACACGGCCCAGACUCCUACGGGAGGCAGCAGUAGGGAAUCUUCCGCAAUGGGCGCAAGCCUGACGGAGCAACGCCGCGUGAGUGAUGAAGGUUUUCGGAUCGUAGAGCUCUGUUGCCAAGGAAGAACGCCUCGGAGAGUAACUGCUCUGAGGGUGACGGUACUUGAGAAGAAAGCCCCGGCUAACUACGUGCCAGCAGCCGCGGUAAUACGUAGGGGGCAAGCGUUGUCCGGAAUUAUUGGGCGUAAAGCGCGCGCAGGCGGUCUUUUAAGUUUGGUGUUUAAGCCCGGGGCUCAACCCCGGUUCGCACUGAAAACUGGGAGACUUGAGUGCAGGAGAGGAAAGCGGAAUUCCACGUGUAGCGGUGAAAUGCGUAGAGAUGUGGAGGAACACCAGUGGCGAAGGCGGCUUUCUGGACUGUAACUGACGCUGAGGCGCGAAAGCGUGGGGAGCAAAC